rnacentral:misc_RNA from 1 species
GUUUCAAAUCAUCACAUAUAUUCCUAAGAAUCUUAUAGAACAGGCAGCACUCAGGAUAUAUUCACCAUCCAUGAUUAGUAAUCCCACAAGCUCUCCAAAUCUCCAAUGGGGCCAACUGAUGAUGGACCUUCAAGACCAUCGUACACCUUGUUGCUUCCCAUUUCUUGCUUCGACACCACCGAUGAUAUCUCGGCGGUGUUGUUCACGUCAGUGCUCAGACCAGUGUCUUGUGAGAGGGUGGCCACAGAUUGGUUAGAUGAAAAUUGUUCAACCUUG